rnacentral:ncRNA from 2 species
CACCCCAAGGAGCGCUGCAACCCGGUCCCGACGACCGGAUCAGGCUUGGGGCGCAAGACUCAUGAAUUCAACGGCGCUCUCAAAUC